UGGGGAAUAUUGCGCAAUGGACGAAAGUCUGACGCAGCGACGCCGCGUGUGGGAUGAAGCUCUUCGGGGUGUAAACCACUGUUGCCAGGGAAGAAACUCUUGAUUCGUCAAGACUGACGGUACCUGGUGAGGAAGCACCGGCUAACUCUGUGCCAGCAGCCGCGGUAAUACAGAGGGUGCGAGCGUUGUCCGGAAUCACUGGGCGUAAAGGGCGCGUAGGUGGCGGGAUAAGUGUGUGGUGAAAGCUCGGGGCUCAACCCCGAGUCUGCCAUGCAGACUGUCUUGCUCGAGCGUAGUAGAGGCAGGUGGAAUUCCGGGUGUAGCGGUGGAAUGCGUAGAGAUCCGGAAGAACACCGGUGGCGAAGGCGGCCUGCUGGGCUACUGCUGACACUGAUGCGCGACAGCGUGGGGAGCAAACAGGAUUAGAUACCCCCGUAGUCC
rnacentral:rRNA from 1 species